GCCGAAGUGGCGGAAUUGGUAGACGCGCCGGUCUCAAAAACCGGUGGACUCCGGUCCGUGCCGGUUCAAUUCCGGCCUUCGGCACCA
rnacentral:tRNA from 1 species